AUCCAGUACAAUUCACAGGGAGAAUUAAUUAGUGCAUAUCAAAUGUGAGCUUGACAGGGCUAUGAUUUAAAUACAAAGAUGCCUGAAGAAUUAUGAGUCAAUAUUUGAGCUCCAUGCUAGUCUGAUGCUAUUGUAUCCACCUGAACAAAUACGGCCUAGCAUCCUACCUUCUUUGCAGCUGUUUGAGUCUCUCCCUACAGGGUGGUAGGUCUGAAGGGGCCUUUUCAGUGGGGGAAGAGGGUAGGGAAGGAUUCUACACAGGGCUCAGCAAGCUGGAAGACAGCUGGAGGGAACAAGCUUCUCUCCUUCACGCUUCUCUCUGCUGCCAGGAAACAGCAGUUCCACGAGUAGAACAGAAGCACCCAGUCAGCUGGAUGUCCAUAUGGAGACUUUUACCCAGGAUCUGACACAUUAACUGUGGGACAUCUGGGGGCUGGUCUCUGCAAACUAUAUUUUUAAGAAUUCCUUACCAACUGGCUUUCAGCUGGACUCAGCCAACAAGAGGAAGACGCUGGAAAUUGGAGGCAGGAAGAAGUGGCUCCCUCCUCCCAGGACUCCAGCUUUCAUCUGAUGCCUUCUACCUCUGUGAUCCAACCUCCUUCCAAGCAGCCUCCAUCCUGGGUUCCAGUUCCAGCUGGAAGGUCCCUGAUCCUGGGCUCUGGGAGCACCAUCUCCUCCUCCCUUCCUCAGCCCAGCCAUAGAGCUGCUUCCUGCUGUUGCUAAUCUUUGGGGAAUCUCUGGGGUGCCUCAGUUGACCCCACUUGGUUUUUCAGUACUUCCAACAUGUUUAUCACCAGUUCAAGGGAUUGAAUUCCACCUACUGAUGGUCCUUCCCAGACCCUGACUGAUACAAGUUUAAUAUGGAGAUGAACAGAACAGGUAAGAAAAACCAGGACUUAUCCUAAAGAAAGUAGCAAAGAAAGAACUUGGGCUCUCCAGAAGCCAAAAUAGGAGCCAAAGCAUCAUAGCUGAAAUCCAAAAGAUGAUGUCCAAACCAGAGAUGCGUGAUAUGACACCCAUACAAGAAAUGCAUAUGGAAUCCUAUGUCAUUCCUUUAUAAAGGGAAGUUGGUACUCAAAUCUCAAGGCAGGACUGAGCCUCCAGGUGGAGAUCAGGGGUUUAGCUUAUAAGGAGAAGAGGAAACAAGGCAAGGUCUGAGCAAGAGAUUACAGAAAGUUGGGUGUUAACCACAUUUUGGCUAAUAAUUUAAUUACACUGUAAAUGUCAUAGGAGAGCUCACAAUUUAAAUUCCCCUGUGGGGAAUCUUUUUGUUCUGCAAAUAAUUACCCCCCUAAUUUAUUUGCUUAUGUUUGGGUUUUCAUAUAUUUGGUUUGUUUAUUUAUUUAUUUAUUUUUACCCAGGGACAAUAGGGCCCAACUCAGCUGGGGAUGAACAGUUGCUUUGAAUUAAGCACUGUUUGGAAUAAACCACAAUCAGUUUAGUAAAAUUUUGAUUAUAUUAGCCUUGCAAAUAGACUUGCCCAGGGUGAGUAGCAAUGCAUUCUGGAUAAGUACGGGGAAAAAUUCAUGAUUCCAGAGCAUAUAAGGGCGAGAAAGACCCUAGAGCAGUCAGGAAUCAUAUCAAAUAUUUGAUACUCAGGCACUGUUUAGAACAUCUUGUCCAAAUGCAUGCCAAAUGUAGCUUUGAAAGCCAUCGUUUGUGUAAUGGUAAUUUCCACUCACUGGUCAUGGUUUUACCUGCUGGGACCAUGGGAAACAAAUUUGCCCCCUAGAUGUACUCUGUCUAUUUUUAGGUAUCUUUGCUCUUAAAACAAAAGUUCCUAAUUUCUUCAGCCAUUCCUCCUGUGACACUUCUUCUGAAGCAGAGGAAUGGUAAAUGAGCUACAGUAUAUACACUAGGUAGAAUAAUAUGUAACCACUAAAAUAAUCGUUAUGAAGUAGGAAGAGAAACUCGUAAUGCUCAAAGACAAGAGCAGAUUACAAAAUUGGAAGGAGGCCAUUUCCAUAUUGCUGAACACUUAGAUCCAAAUGUGCUUGUGCAUUUUCUAAUUGUAAAAAUAAUUUGGCAGCAGUACAGAACAUUUAUGAUAUGGAAAGAAGAUCUCUAAGUUCGCAAAUGACAGUGGCUGUCCAUUGCUGCUCUACAGAAAAGCUGUAUUAGAAUCACCAGAAGCUUGCUAAAAUUAGAGAUCACAGGACCCCAGCUGACUUACAGAAUCUCUGAGAGCCUGGAAUCCCUUGUUUCUCACUGUUCCCUGGGGGAUUCUGACGCAGCAGGACUGAGAGAACUGCCUAUCACAAUAACGAUGAUCAUUUCUGUAUUCCCUUCCACUCUCUUUUCACAUGCAUAUGUUUAUUCAAUUAUAAGGAUAGCAUUUACUCAAUUUUGGACACAAAUGUUUUUAUACAACACUAAAAAAAACAGGUGUUCUUUUUUUAAUUUUUAAUUUUAAUUUUAAUUUUUUAGUGAGGAGGUCUUGCUAUGCUGCCCAGGCUGGAGUGCAUUGGCUAUUCACAAGUGCAAUCAUAGCACACUACAGUCUUGAACUCCUGGGCUCAAGUAAUCACAGGUGCAAUUCACAGGCUAUUCACAGGUGCAAUUACAGCACACUACAGUCUUGAGCCCCUGGGUUCAAGUAAUCCCCCUGCUUCAGCCUCCCAAGUAGCUGGGACUUCAGGUGUGGAUAACUGUGCCCUGCAAAAAAUAAGUGUUCUUUGAACUGAAAUGUCUGCUGAACAUAAAAAUGUAGGAAAGUCAAGAGGAGAAAAUAUCUCCCAGAAUCACAGCACCCUAACACAACCACUAUUAACAUUUUGAGAUACAAUUCUUGCCUGUUUUAUAGGAGUCAUUUUUAUUUUGUUUAUUUUUACUGGAAUAAGUAUGUUGCACAUGCAGUACUAAAAUCUGUAUCUUUCACAUUGUGGUAAUAUUGUUUUUUCUACACUAUUACAUACUCUUCAUAAAAUUUGGCCAUUGACCUAUUAUUGUUAGUCAUUAUUCCAGUUACAAAUAAUUUUGUGACAAACAUCUCUGUGUGUAAAGCAUUUCAUAUUUGAGUAUCUCCUUACAAUGCAUGCAAAGAAAUAAAG
rnacentral:lncRNA from 10 species